rnacentral:rRNA from 1 species
UAACCGCGAGGUGGAGCAAAACUUCAAAAAUAGGUCUCAGUUCGGACUGUAGGCUGCAACUCGCCUACACGAAGUUGGAAUUGCUAGUAAUCGUGGAUCAGCAUGCCACGGUGAAUACGUUCCCGGGUCUUGUACACACCGCCCGUCACACCAUGGGAGUCGGAAAUGCCCGAAGUCAGUGACCCAACCACAACGUGAACUUUGUUCACGUGGAGGGAGCUGCCGAAGGUGGAGCCGGUAACUGGGGUGAAGUCGUAACAAGGUAGC